rnacentral:rRNA from 1 species
AUUACUGGGGGCGUAAGCGCACGCAGGCGGUUUGUUAAGCUAGAUGUGAAAGCCCCGGGCUCAACCUGGGAUGGUCAUUUAGAACUGGCAGACUAGAGUCUUGGAGAGGGGAGUGGAAUUCCAGGUGUAGCGGUGAAAUGCGUAGAUAUCUGGAGGAACAUCAGUGGCGAAGGCGACUCCCUGGCCAAAGACUGACGCUCAUGUGCGAAAGUGUGGGUAGCGAACAGGAUUAGAUACCCUGGUAGUCCACACCGUAAACGCUGUCUACUAGCUGUGUGUGCCUUUAAGGCGUGCGUAGCGAAGCUAACGCGAUAAGUAGACCGCCUGGGGAGUACGGCCGCAAGGUUAAAACUCAA